UUAUCCGGAUUUAUUGGGUUUAAAGGGUGCGUAGGCGGUUUGAUAAGUUAGAGGUGAAAUCCCGGGGCUUAACUCCGGAACUGCCUCUAAUACUGUUAGACUAGAGAGUAGUUGCGGUAGGCGGAAUGUAUGGUGUAGCGGUGAAAUGCUUAGAGAUCAUACAGAACACCGAUUGCGAAGGCAGCUUACCAAACUAUAUCUGACGUUGAGGCACGAAAGCGUGGGGAGCAAACAGGAUUAGAUACCCUGGUAGUCCACGCAGUAAACGAUGAUAACUCCUUGUCGGCGAUACACAGUCGGUGACUAAGCGAAAGCGAUAAGUUAUCCACCUGGGGAGUACGUUCGCAAGAAUGAAACUCAA
rnacentral:rRNA from 1 species